rnacentral:lncRNA from 1 species
UUUUUGCACCAUUAUGCAUUCCUACUUCUCCCUCUUUCUUUAAGCAUGGAGAAGCCUACUUAACCUUAUUAUAACAAUAACAGAAUAGGUUAUUAAUAUUUAAUAUGCACAUGAUUAAAAUUUCUCUCCCUUAAACAUAGGUCAGCUGUAUUAUUACUAACCGGCAUGUAAUUUUUCAUUUAAAAUAUUGGUAUUCUGCCCCAUGCCGUUUCUGAAAUGCAGUCUACUUUAGUAGUGAUUUAAUACACAACGUUUAGAAAAUUGUGGUCGGCUAGUGAGAAAAGAAUUUACCAGUCAUGGAUAAUCAAUUAUGCAUGAAUUCAGAUGUAACAGAUGGAAUCUGGUGAUCUUUAGACAGUGACUGAGUAUGGAUCAUUUGAACGAGGCAACUCAGGGGAAAGAACAUUCAGAAAUGUCUAACAAUGUGAGUGAUCCGAAGGGUCCACCAGCCAAGAUUGCCCGCCUGGAGCAGAACGGGAGCCCGCUAGGAAGAGGAAGGCUUGGGAGUACAGGUGCAAAAAUGCAGGGAGUGCCUUUAAAACACUCGGGCCAUCUGAUGAAAACCAACCUUAGGAAAGG